GACGAACGCUGGCGGCGUGCUUAACACAUGCAAGUCGAACGGUGACCCAGGGCUUGCCCUGGUGAUCAGUGGCGAACGGUGAGUAACACGUGGGCAACCUGCCCCUGACUUCGGGAUAACUCCUCGAAAGAGGAGCUAAUACCGGAUACGACCACUUCGGACAUCCGAUGGUGGUGGAAAGUUCUUCGGUCAGGGAUGGGCCCGCGGCCUAUCAGCUAGUUGGUGGGGUAAUGGCCUACCAAGGCGACGACGGGUAGCCGGCCUGAGAGGGCGACCGGCCACACUGGGACUGAGACACGGCCCAGACUCCUACGGGAGGCAGCAGUGGGGAAUAUUGCGCAAUGGGCGAAAGCCUGACGCAGCGACGCCGCGUGAGGGAUGAAGGCCUUCGGGUUCGUAAACCGUCUUUCAGCA
rnacentral:rRNA from 1 species